rnacentral:rRNA from 1 species
GAUGAACGCUGGCGGCGUGCUUAACACAUGCAAGUCGAACGAAGCACUUACCAAGGAUUCUUUCGGGAUGACUAAUAAGUGACUGAGUGGCGGACGGGUGAGUAACGCGUGGGUAACCUACCUCACACAGGGGGAUAACAGUUAGAAAUGACUGCUAAUACCGCAUAAGCGCACAGUGCUGCAUGGCACAGUGUGAAAAACUCCGGUGGUGUGAGAUGGACCCGCGUCUGAUUAGCUGGUUGGUGAGGUAACGGCCCACCAAGGCAACGAUCAGUAGCCGGCCUGAGAGGGUGAACGGCCACAUUGGAACUGAGACACGGUCCAAACUCCUACGGGAGCAGCAGUGGGGAAUAUUGCACAAAUGGGGGGAAACCCUGAUGCAGCGACGCCGCGUGAGUGAAGAAGUAUUUCGGUAUGUAAAGCUCUAUCAGCAGGGAAGAUAAUGACGGUACUGACUAAGAAGCCC